GUUAGUUUUGAAAUCCGUGUACAAAUAAGCCGAUGCUCUGGAUUAAAGUAAUGAAUGUAGCAUGGUACUGUACACGGAAACUGAACUAUGGAUCGACAUGUCUGCCAUCUCUGAUUUUUUCCCUGAUUAGACGGCCUGGUUUAGAUCCACAUUC